UCAAAAGAGGGAGUGCUGUGCAAGAGAAGCUCAAACGCAAGGAUACCAAGGAAAGGCACACAAGGAACGUUGAAGGUUUACAUAGGGUAACUUACCUCAAGCAGCAGGAGAAGUGAACUGGUGAAUAAGCAACUUGUGCACAUGCACCUCUCCCAGCGUUCCACUAACAUGUACUGGGGAUCCGUUUUGCCAUCAGGAACAACUUCCAGAGGAGUAAAAGUAGAAAAGAUACAAAAUAUUCUAGCUAAAGUGAUCUCUUUCAAGCUCCAGUACCACAAGCAAGCAAGUAGAUCAUGCACAUCAUCUGGCAGGACUUGCAAAGAAUUCUGGGUAACUCAUACUGCC